rnacentral:rRNA from 1 species
GGGAGCUUGCUCCCUGAGAUUAGCGGCGGACGGGUGAGUAACACGUGGGCAACCUGCCUAUAAGACUGGGAUAACUUCGGGAAACCGGAGCUAAUACCGGAUACGUUCUUUUCUCGCAUGAGAGAAGAUGGAAAGACGGUUUACGCUGUCACUUAUAGAUGGGCCCGCGGCGCAUUAGCUAGUUGGUGAGGUAAUGGCUCACCAAGGCGACGAUGCGUAGCCGACCUGAGAGGGUGAUCGGCCACACUGGGACUGAGACACGGCCCAGACUCCUACGGGAGGCAGCAGUAGGGAAUCUUCCGCAAUGGACGAAAGUCUGACGGAGCAACGCCGCGUGAACGAAGAAGGCCUUCGGGUCGUAAAGUUCUGUUGUUAGGGAAGAACAAGUACCAGAGUAACUGCUGGUACCUUGACGGUACCUAACCAGAAAGCCACGGCUAACUACGUGCCAGCAGCCGCGGUAAUACGUAGGUGGCAAGCGUUGUCCGGAAUUAUUGGGCGUAAAGCGCGCGCAGGUGGUUCCUUAAGUCUGAUGUGAAAGCCCACGGCUCAACCGUGGAGGGUCAUUGGAAACUGGGGAACUUGAGUGCAGAAGAGGAAAGUGGAAUUCCAAGUGUAGCGGUGAAAUGCGUAGAGAUUUGGAGGAACACCAGUGGCGAAGGCGACUUUCUGGUCUGUAACUGACACUGAGGCGCGAAAGCGUGGGGAGCAAACAGGAUUAGAUA